UACAGAGGUGGCAAGCGUUGUUCGGAAUCACUGGGCGUAAAGGGCGUGUAGGCGGUCAGGUAAGUGGGAUGUGAAAUGCCCCGGCUCACCCGGGGACCGGCAUCCCAUACUGCUUGGCUUGAGUACGGGAGAGGAUGUGGGAAUUCCUGGUGUAGCGGUGAAAUGCGUAGAUAUCAGGAGGAACACCGGUGGCGAAGGCGCACAUCUGGCCCGAUACUGACGCUGAGGCGCGAAAGCUAGGGGAGCAAACGGG
rnacentral:rRNA from 1 species